rnacentral:lncRNA from 1 species
UAACCUUUGUAUAUAGCAUUGACUAAAGAAAAUCAUAUUUUGACUUAUGACUGAUUUUGAACUACCACUAAAAGUUUUGAAUGAAAUUUUUUGUAAGUUAGGAACCUUCUGUAUCUAUUUAUUUAACCCUGUUACCAUAAACACAGUUUAACUACCAAACUAAAGACAAUCUUUUCAUGGAGACAGCAAAGAGAUUAUUAGAUUUUCAGCAAUGCUAUAAUCAUUUUCCAAUGAUAUUUAGAAUUCAGUUUUACAUAAUGCCAAUCUCAUUCUAACCAAUGAAAUUACCUCUUACAUUGCAUUUCUUUGAUACUGCGCAAGCUCUGUAUUUGAAGAAAAUGGCAGUGAAUGGGCAAGAGUUUUGUCUGUGGAAAGACGAAGACCAGCAUAGGCCCCAGAUAUAUAUUAAAUAAUUCGUCUUAUUAUCAAUACUGUAAUAGUAUUGUUUAUUAUUAUAUAGUAGCUAACAUAUCUAGUACUUCCUGGAUAAUAUUUAAAUCAAUUUAUAUAAAUAAUAUAACUAAAAGUUCUAGGAUGAUGAUAGUCAAUUAUGUUACCUCUUUUAAUGCUUAAUACCAUG